rnacentral:rRNA from 1 species
CGCUGGCGGCGUGCCUAAUACAUGCAAGUCGAGCGGACAGAAGGGAGCUUGCUCCCGGAUGUUAGCGGCGGACGGGUGAGUAACACGUGGGUAACCUGCCUGUAAGACUGGGAUAACUCCGGGAAACCGGAGCUAAUACCGGAUAGUUCCUUGAACCGCAUGGUUCAAGGAUGAAAGACGGUUUCGGCUGUCACUUACAGAUGGACCCGCGGCGCAUUAGCUAGUUGGUGGGGUAAUGGCUCACCAAGGCGACGAUGCGUAGCCGACCUGAGAGGGUGAUCGGCCACACUGGGACUGAGACACGGCCCAGACUCCUACGGGAGGCAGCAGUAGGGAAUCUUCCGCAAUGGACGAAAGUCUGACGGAGCAACGCCGCGUGAGUGAUGAAGGUUUUCGGAUCGUAAAGCUCUGUUGUUAGGGAAGAACAAGUGCGAGAGUAACUGCUCGCACCUUGACGGUACCUAACCAGAAAGCCACGGCUAACUACGUGCCAGCAGCCGCGGUAAUACGUAGGUGGCAAGCGUUGUCCGGAAUUAUUGGGCGUAAAGGGCUCGCAGGCGGUUUCUUAAGUCUGAUGUGAAAGCCCCCGGCUCAACCGGGGAGGGUCAUUGGAAACUGGGAAACUUGAGUGCAGAAGAGGAGAGUGGAAUUCCACGUGUAGCGGUGAAAUGCGUAGAGAUGUGGAGGAACACCAGUGCGAGGCGACUCUCUGGUCUGUAACUGACGCUGAGGAGCGAAGCGUGGGGAGCGAAAGGAUUAAAUACCCUGGUAGUCCACGCCGGAAAC